rnacentral:rRNA from 1 species
GAUGAACGCUGGCGGCGUGCCUAAUACAUGCAAGUCGAGCGAACAGACGAGGAGCUUGCUCCUCUGACGUUAGCGGCGGACGGGUGAGUAACACGUGGAUAACCUACCUAUAAGACUGGGAUAACUUCGGGAAACCGGAGCUAAUACCGGAUAAUAUAUUGAACCGCAUGGUUCAAUAGUGAAAGACGGUUUUGCUGUCACUUAUAGAUGGAUCCGCGCCGCAUUAGCUAGUUGGUAAGGUAACGGCUUACCAAGGCGACGAUGCGAACCCCACCUGAGAGGGACGUCGCCCACAUUGGCAGUGAGGCACGGCCGCGACCCCUGGGGGGGGACACAGUCGGGACUCUUCCGCAAUGGGGGAAAGGCGGACGUAGCAACGCGGCGGGAGUGAUGAAGGACUCAGGAUCGUAAAACUAUGUUAUUAGGGAAGAACAAAUGUGCAAGUAACUAUGCACGUCUUGACGGUACCUAAUCAAAAAGCCACGGCUAACUACGUG